rnacentral:rRNA from 1 species
AGACAGAGGGGGCAAGCGUUGCUCGGAAUCACUGGGCGUAAAGGGCGCGUAGGCGGGAUGGCAAGUCAGUCGUGAAAUCUCUCGGCUCAACCGAGAAACGUCGGCUGAUACUGCCGUUCUUGAGGGAUGCAGAGGAGACUGGAAUUCCCGGUGUAGCGGUGAAAUGUGUAGAGACCGGGAGGAACACCGGUGGCGAAGGCGGGUCUCUGGGCAUUUCCUGACGCUGAGGCGCGAAAGCGUGGGGAGCAAACGGGAUUAGAUACCCCGGUAGUCCACGCUGUAAACGAUGACGACUAGGUGUGGGGUGGGUUAGUCCAUUCCGUGCCGCAGCUAACGCAUUAAGUCGUCCGCCUGGGGAGUACGGCCGCAAGGUUGAAACUCAAAUGAAUUGGCGGGG